GGCCUGAUAGUACAGUUGGAAGUGCGUCUGCUUCACUUGGACCAUGGAUUAUCAACAAUCUCAGCAGAAGAUCCCCGUUCGAUCCGGGGUCAGGCCG